rnacentral:tRNA from 1 species
CAGAGUGUAGCUAAAUAGCACAGCAUCCCUCUUACACUGAGAAGGUAUUCGUGCAAAUCGAAUCACCCUGA